rnacentral:lncRNA from 1 species
UAGAGAAUGAAGAUGUGGAAAUAGAUAUUGAAUAAUAUACUGAAGGAGAAUCAGUUAUAAGAUCUAGUGAUGAUGUAGAAAAGAAAGUAAGGGAGAUGUAGAAGAGGUUGUAAAAGGGAAAGAUGAAAAUAAAAAUAAGAAAGAAGAUGGAGUUAGGGAUGAUGUAGAAAGUAAUAAAAGAAAUAAAGAGGAAUGUGAGGAUGAAGGUGAUAAUGAAGAGGGAAA